GGCCAUAUCACGUUGAAACAACGGUUCCGUACGAUCACCAAAGUUAAACAACGUAGAGUCUGGUCACUACUUAGAUGGGUAACCACUUGGAAAUACCAGACGCUGUAUG